rnacentral:lncRNA from 11 species
GGGGAAUUAAGCAGAUGGUUGUACUCUAAAAGGAGGAGUCAGUCUUGUGUGAUGGGCAUAAAUAAAUUCUCCAUCUUCUUUAAAUACCAUGCAAAGAAGACAAUUCCAAAAGGGAUGAGGUAUCAUCUAAAAUUUGAUUUUUUCCCAGGAUUUGAACACAGACGUGAAUCCUUCAAGGGAGAGAUAGGAGAACGAGCGAUGCCGUUCUGA